rnacentral:rRNA from 1 species
CAGCAGCCGCGGUAAAACGAAGGGGGCUAGCGUUGUUCGGAUUUACUGGGCGUAAAGCGCACGUAGGUGGAUGAUUAAGUCAGGGGUGAAAUCCCGAGGCUCAACCUCGGAACUGCCUUUGAUACUGGUCAUCUUGAGUCCGGGAGAGGUGAGUGGAACUGCGAGUGUAGAGGUGAAAUUCGUAGAUAUUCGCAAGAACACCAGUGGCGAAGGCGGCUCACUGGCCCGGUACUGACGCUGAGGUGCGAAAGCGUGGGGAGCAAACAGGAUUAGAUACCCCUGUAGUCCCUGUCUCUUAUAC